rnacentral:rRNA from 1 species
CGGCGACCGGCGCACGGGUGCGUAACGCGUAUGCAACCUACCUUUAACAGGGGGAUAACACUGAGAAAUUGGUACUAAUACCCCAUAAUAUCAUAGAAGGCAUCUUUUAUGGUUGAAAAUUCCGAUGGUUAGAGAUGGGCAUGCGUUGUAUUAGCUAGUUGGUGGGGUAACGGCUCACCAAGGCGACGAUACAUAGGGGGACUGAGAGGUUAACCCCCCACACUGGUACUGAGACACGGACCAG